CUGCCAUACUUACCUUAGACACCAACUGGUUAGUCAUUUUCAAUUUGAUCAACUUAUAAACUUGGAUUCGACUAUAGAGCUACGAUCAAAGUCCAUAUUGGUCUAAUAAAAGAUAUGGACUCGACCAACUAUAACUAUUGAAAUUGAUCAAGUGAAGAAAUUGAUCCAAUCAGAAUUAACUUUUAUUUAGAUUUGAUCAAUUACUAACAUGGUCCAUUAUCAAUAGUUUCUAACCCUAGGUCUAAUCCAGUUAAAAGGACUUG
rnacentral:lncRNA from 1 species